GAUGAACGCUGGCGGCGUGCCUAAUACAUGCAAGUCGAGCGAACAGAUGAGGAGCUUGCUCCUCUGACGUUAGCGGCGGACGGGUGAGUAACACGUGGAUAACCUACCUAUAAGACUGGGAUAACUUCGGGAAACCGGAGCUAAUACCGGAUAAUAUAUUGAACCGCAUGGUUCAAUAGUGAAAGACGGUUUUGCUGUCACUUAUAGAUGGAUCCGCGCCGCAUUAGCUAGUUGGUAAGGUAACGGCUUACCAAGGCAACGAUGCGUAGCCGACCUGAGAGGGGGAUAGGCCGCACGAGAGGGUGGACGCGCACCAGGGGCCUGCGAGAGGGCCCAGUAGGGAAUGGGACGCAAUGGGGGAAAAUAUUACGAAAUGAGCGGGAGUGAGUGAUAGAAGUCUUCGGUGCGUAAACAUCGGUUACGGGGUAAGAACAGAUGUCGAAGUAACCAAAGCCUGCGUGACGGUACCGGGUCAAGAAGCAACGGCUAACUACGUG
rnacentral:rRNA from 1 species